GGCGAAAGAUCUUAGGCGGCCACUGCGAAUGUUCCGAGAAACAAGCCUUUGGAUUUGUCAUCAUCAACACAAGUAAAUUUAACAUAUGAAAAAUAAAUCAAAGGAAGGACUAAAGCAAAUGUCAGCUAAUUUUCCAAAACCCAAAAGUUCAUGAUUGUUUCAGACAUCCAAGGAAGGAAUGAAGCAGCAUUAUCUCUCAAGCCUGGCGAAGGCGAAAGAUCUUAGGCGGCCACUGCGAAUGUUCCGAGAAACAAGCCUUUGGUUUUGUCAUCAUCAACAGUAGUUAAUUCAACAUAUGAAGACAAACUAGA